AGUUUGAUCAUGGCUCAGAUUGAACGCUGGCGGGAUGCUUUACAUGCAAGUCGAACGGCAGCACGGACUUCGGUCUGGUGGCGAGUGGCGAACGGGUGAGUAAUGUAUCGGAACGUGCCCUAGUAAGGGGAUAACUACGCGGCGUAAUAAUACCACAUGCAUACCUUCAGCGAAGAAGCGGGGGACCUUCGGGCCUCGCACUAUUAGAGCGGCCGAUAUCGGAUUAGCAGCUAUUGGUGGGAGUAACGGCUCACCAAGGCGACGAUCCGUAGCUGGUUUGAGAGGACGACCAGCCACACUGGGACUGAGACCUGGCCCAGACUCCUACGGGAGGCAGCAGUGGGGAAUUUUGGACAAUGGGGAAACCCUGAUCGCCAUCCCGCGUGUGCGAUGCGGGAAGGCCUUCGGGUUGCUAAAGCACUGCAGGAGAAAAACGGCACGGGAUAAUACCCGUCACAACGGCGGUACCUGCAGAAUGACACCGGCUAACUACGUGCUGCCAGCAGCCGCGGUAAUACGUAGGGUGCAAGCGUUAAUCCGGAUACUGGCGUAAAGCGUGCGCAGGCGGUUGGAAAGAUGUAAAGUAAGAACGCUUGACUGCAUUUUUAACUACCGAGCUAGAGUGUGUCAGAGGGAGGUGGAAUUCGCGUGUAGCAGUGAAAUGCGUAGAUAUGCGGAGGAACACCGAUAAUGACAGCUCCCUGGAUAACUUACUGACGCUAACACACGUAGCAAUGAGGCUCGUGAUUAGAUACCCUGGUAGUCCACGCCCUAAACGAUGUCAACUAGCUGUUGGGGCCUUCGGGCCUUGGUAGCGCAGCUAACGCGUGGAAGUUGACCACCCUGGGAGUACGGUCGCAAGAUUAAAACUCAAGGAAUUGACGGGGACCCGCACAAGCGGUGGAUGAUGUGGAUUAAAUUCGAUGCAACGCGAAAAACCUUACCUACCCUUGACAUGUCUGGAAUCCCGAAGAGAUUUGGGGAGUGCUCGCAAGAGAACCGGAACACAGGUGCUGCAUGGCUGUCGUCAGCUCGUGUCGUGAGAUGUUGGGUUAAGUCCGCAACGAGCGCAACCCUUGUCAUUAGUUGCUACGAAAGGGCACUCUAAUAUGAGACUGCCGGUGACAAACCGGAGGAAGAUGGGGAUGACGUCAAGUCCUCAUGGCCCUUAUGGUGGACUUCACCACGUCAUACAAUGGUCCGGGACGGGGUCGCCAACCCGCGAGGGGAGCCAAAUCCCAGAAACCCGAUCGUAGUCCGGAUCAUGAUCUGCAACUCGACUGCGUGAAGUCGGAAUCGCUAGUAAUCGCGGAUCAGCAUGUCGCGGUGAAUACGUUCCCGGGUCUUGUACACCGCCCGUCACACCAUGAGAUGGGUUUUACCAGAAGUAGUUAGCCUAACCGUAAGGAGGCGAUUACCACGGUAAGUUCAUGACUGGGGGUGAAGUCAUGCUAAGGUAA
rnacentral:rRNA from 1 species